rnacentral:rRNA from 1 species
UACGAAGGGUGCUAGCGUUGCUCGGAAUCACUGGGCGUAAAGCGCACGUAGGCGGCUUGUUAAGUCAGGGGUGAAAUCCUGGAGCUCAACUCCAGAACUGCCUUUGAUACUGGCGAUCUUGAGUCCGGGAGAGGUGAGUGGAACUGCGAGUGUAGAGGUGAAAUUCGUAGAUAUUCGCAAGAACACCAGUGGCGAAGGCGGCUCACUGGCCCGGUACUGACGCUGAGGUGCGAAAGCGUGGGGAGCAAACAGG